rnacentral:misc_RNA from 1 species
CAAUAAGAGUGUUUAUGGCACUCUUUCAAAAAAUCCAUACCCACCUUGUGUGCAAUGUAAAAAAAAAAGGAGUUUUCUUGUGGUUUGGGAGUGAGAGUUGUUUUACAACGCUCAUUUUUUUUUUUUUCCUCAAGAGACACUUUUUUUUUCAUUUCAUAUACACCUUUCUAUAAGUUUCCUAUUGUCUGAAGUACUUGGAAUAAAUAUAAUUCUAAAAUA